AUGAGUGUUUCUUUAUAUCAUGCAGGUGCAACCGUAUAAUCUGGUUAGGGAAAGGUAUAAAGCAACUCUUUUACAAGCGGUCCAAAUUAAAGACUAUCUGAUUAAAGGCCUGUAAGCUCGAUGUUCUAGGUAGAAGUUGAAAUAUUUGAUCCAAAGCCUCCUCAAUUCUCACACCAUCGUUGUACAACUAGAAAGGAAAAUACAAGACUAUCCGGAAAUGGACUGAUUGGGAAGGUGGUUGCUAUCCACUUACAAUUAACUUCAGUGAAGAUUAUCCGAGUAAACCGCCAAAGUGUAAAUUCCUAGCAGGCUUUUUCCAUCCAAAUGUCUAUCCGUCUGGAACAGUGUGCUUGUCGAUCCUCAAUGAAGAUAGUCUUUGUUUCACUUUUACAUUGUGGAGGCAAAAAAGAGUCAUCUUCUUUCAUCCUUCUGCUUAGUCUUUGGUUGAGGGAUUAAAAGAUGAAGUUGAAAUGAAGAGUAAGGAGAAAAGAGACUUCGAAGAGCAUAAAGUUGAAAUCGAGAAAAGAGUAUCUGAGCUAAACUUGAAGAUUGACAAGCUCUAAUAGACUAUUGACGAACAUGAGAAACUGAAAAAGACUGAACGAGCUCUUAAACUUGCUGAGGUGCUCUUGAUAUUACAGAAUAGCUUCAAAAGUUCUGAAGCCACUUCUAAGAUGAAGGAGCUCAUGGAGGUAAAUGUUCUGGCUUCCUAUAUCUUAUCAUGUGAAUUCAGGAUUAUGAUUACUUUUGGUAGGACGUUCCACCUCAAUUUUGCAGCUAGCAGCAGAAAUGAUCUUCUGUGGGCUUACGACACACUACUCACACAGUGCAACAAGUUCAAUACAUACGCUUAAUUUGUUUUGCACCUAGGUUCCAACAGCCUACUGAUGUUAUUUGAGAAUAGUUCUGGAAACUUCUUAUCUGCCGUCUCUACUCAUCCCAGAAACUUCCAUUGAUUGAGGAAUAACUUGGAACGUUGAUUACUGAUGAUCCCUCAGUGAUUGAAAGAUCUCUUGAAAAUUGUGGAGAGAUUGUCCCACUGUACUUCACAAACAUUGUUGACGGAUACUACUAAUAUAAUAGUAAUACUAAUACAAAAGUCACUAAGAAAUGAGUAGUGGAACUUUUGAUAAUUCAGUUAUAGCCUUUAUUUAUAAUUUUGCAAAUCAUAUUUUCUCAAUUUUUUUUCAAUCUCUAUAUGGUGUUGUAUUUAUGAGUUCUAUCAGGUUUCUUCUAUUUCUCUUGAUCUAUCGCAUUGUUUCUUGGUAAUGAGAAUUUGUUGGGUACUUGUUAGUCUUUCUACUGUUUUAAUAGUUUCAUGAUGCAUUUUGUUCUUACAUGCCUGUAGUUGUGUCUUUUAAGUUUGAAAACAAGCACAUACACAUCUCUAACUUUAUUGUUUUUGAUGUCUUUACUGACAGUUUUUCAGUGGAUGCCAAGCUGAGUUACAAGUUACAACUGCAAAAUUAAGAGUGUAGUUGCAGCAUAGCAAGUUCAACAAUGUUACUUUAGAACUUCGUUCCACAAAUAAAUGUACAUAUAACCACCAUAAAAUUACUUUAUUCAGAGUGUUAAAUCUCAUUAAAAUUGGACCAAGAACGAUCUCAUUUGUACAAUGAUACUUGAAAAAUUGCACGGGUCAUCUAGUACUAUAUAUAAGUGAGGAUAAAUUUUUUGGCAGUCCUCACAAUCAAGAUUUUUGUUUCUUUAACAAAUCAUACUGCUACACGUUGCUACUU